rnacentral:lncRNA from 1 species
AUGCUUAGCCUCGUCCACCCCAGCUGUAAAACUCAGAAACCAGUCUUACUUGUUAUCAUCUAUCGUCCACCUGGGCCUUACACAGAGUUUCUCUCUGAUUUCUCAGACUUUUUAUCUGAUUUAGUGCUCAGCUCAGAUAAAAUAAUUAUUGUGGGUGAUUUUAACAUCCAUGUAGAUGCUAAAAAUGACAGCCUCAACAUGGCAUUUAAUCUGUUAUUAGACUCAAUUGGCUUCUCUCAAAAUGUAAAAGAACCCACCCACCACUUUAAUCACACUCUAGAUCUUGUUUUAACAUAUGGCAUAGAAACUGAACAUUUAACAGUGUUUCCUGAAAACCCUCUGCUGUCUGAUCAUUUCCUGAUAACAUUUACAUUUACAGUAAUUGAUUACACAGCAGUGGAGAGUAGACUUUAUCAAAGUAGAUGUCUUUCUGAAAGUGCUGUAACUAAGUUUAAGAAUAUAAUCCACCCACUGUUAUCAUCUUCAAUGCCCUGUACCAACAUAGAGCAGAGCAGCUACCUGAACGCUACUCCAACAGAGGUCGAUUAUCUUGUUAAUAAUUUUACCUCCUCACUAUGUACGACUCUGGAUACUGUAGCUCCUGUGAAAACUAAGGCCUCAAAUCCGAAGUACCUGACUCCGUGGUAUAAUUCUCAAACACGUAGCCUAAAGCAGAUAACCCGUAAGCUGGAGAGGAAAUGGCGUGUCACAAAUUUAGAGGAUCAUCAUUUAGCCUGGAGAAAUAGUUUGCUGCUUUAUAAGAAAGCCCUCCGCAAAGCCAGAACAUCUUACUAUUCGUCACUGAUUGAAGAAAAUAAGAACAACCCCAGGUUUCUCUUCAGCACUGUAGCCAGGCUGACAAACAGUCAGAGCUCUACUGAGCCAACAAUCCCUUUAACGUUAACUAGUAAUGACUUCAUGAACUUCUUCACAUAUAAAAUUUUUAUCAUUAGAGAAAAAAUUACCAAUAAUCAUCCCACAGAUGUAAUAUUAUCUACAGCUACUUUUAGUACCAUCGAUGUUAAGUUAGACUCUUUUUCUCCAAUUGAUCUUUCUGAGUUAACUUCAAUAAUUAAUUCCUCCAAACCAUCAACGUGUCUUUUAGACCCCAUUCCUACAAAACUGCUCAAAGAAGUCCUGCCAUUAAUUAAUUCUUCGAUCUUAAAUAUGAUCAACCUAUCUCUAAUAAUCGGCUAUGUACCACAGGCCUUCAAGGUGGCUGUAGUUAAACCUUUACUUAAAAAGCAUCUCUAG